rnacentral:rRNA from 1 species
AGAGUUUGAUCCUGGCUCAGGAUGAACGCUAGCUACAGGCUUAACACAUGCAAGUCGAGGGGCAGCAUGUAUCUGGCUUGCCAGAUAUGAUGGCGACCGGCGCACGGGUGCGUAACGCGUGUUCGACCUACCCUUUACUCGGGAACAGCCCAUCGAAAGAUGGAUUAAUGCCCGAUGUUCUCCCUAUAUCGCAUGGUAUUUGGAGCAAAGAUUUAUCGGUAGAGGAUGGGAACGCGUCCGAUUAGCUGGACGGCGGGGUAACGGCCCACCGUGGCGACGAUCGGUAGGGGUUCUGAGAGGAAGGUCCCCCACACUGGAACUGAGACACGGUCCAGACUCCUACGGGAGGCAGCAGUGAGGAAUAUUGGUCAAUGGCCGGGAGGCUGAACCAGCCAAGUAGCGUGAAGGAUGACUGCCCUAUGGGUUGUAAACUUCUUUUGUACGGGAAUAACCUGGCCCACGUGUGGGUUUCUGCAUGUACCGUACGUACGAAUAAGCAUCGGCUAAUUCCGUGCCAGCAGCCGCGGUAAUACGGAAGAUGCGAGCGUUAUCCGGAUUUAUUGGGUUUAAAGGGAGCGUAGGCGGAUUGUUAAGUCAGCGGUCAAAUGUCGGUGCCCAACAUCGUCCUUCCGUUGAAACUGGCAGUCUUGAAUGCACACAGGGAAGGUGGAAUUCGUCGUGUAGCGGUGAAAUGCUUAGAUAUGACGAGGAACUCCGAUCGCGAAGGCAUCCUUCUGGAGUGCGAUUGACGCUGAGGCUCGAAAGCGCGGGUAUCAAACAGGAUUAGAUACCCUGGUAGUCCGCGCCGUAAACGAUGGAACGGUGAAACUCAAAGGAAUUGACGGGGGCCCGCACAAGCGGAGGAACAUGUGGUUUAAUUCGAUGAUACGCGAGGAACCUUACCCGGGCUUGAAUUGUGCAGGACGGAAGAGAGAGACCUCUUCCUUCUUCGGACCUGCAUGAAGGUGCUGCAUGGUUGUCGUCAGCUCGUGCCGUGAGGUGUCGGCUCAAGUGCCAUAACGAGCGCAACCCCUGCCGUCAGUUGCCAUCGGGUGAUGCCGGGCACUCUGGCGGGACUGCCGCCGCAAGGCGUGAGGAGGGUGGGGAUGACGUCAAAUCAGCACGGCCCUUACGUCCGGGGCUACACACGUGUUACAAUGGGGAGUACAGCGCGUUGCUGCCGUGCGAGCGGUGGCGGACCGAUAAAUCUCCUCUCAGUUCGGACUGGAGUCUGCAACCCGACUCCACGAAGCUGGAUUCGCUAGUAAUCGCGCAUCAGCCAUGGCGCGGUGAAUACGUUCCCGGGCCU